rnacentral:lncRNA from 1 species
AACUCCACGAGGGAAUACAUACUGAUUGCAGAAUUACCAUGUUUUGGCGAUGGAAGCAAAGCUAGAGCUUUGCCAUUUUCCCUCUUUCCAAUUUCUUCAUUAUCCACAAAAACUUCAAGUUAAAUACCUAAGAAUAUCAAUUCCUUUUCAGUCAAUACUCCUCUGAACAACUCGAAACGCAAUGCCAGGACUGAAUAUCCGGUUUAAGGAUGAAGAUUCGACAUCAUACCAACAAACCCAUGUUCCAUUUUUACCAGAGAACUCAAAUAAUUCAAUUUUAUGUUCCGGUGGAUUAUUCCUUGUCGAUAAUAAGAUCCCUUCAUCAAUUAUUAAUGCUAUUUUCGGUGACAAUUAUGUUCCCAUUAAACAUUCGACUGAAUUGCAUUCUCGUAGGAGGCCGGUUGUUGGGUUUGAAUUCUUGUGUUUGAGCUUAUCGAUUAAAGGGAAAGAUAUAGUUAUUAGGAAUUCGAGUGAGAGUUUGGAGCAGAAGAGUAUUAAGGAGGCUCGGGCGGCUGUUGGCGAAGGAAGUACGGCAGUGAAGGCUGGAAAAGUAUCGAAGGUUAGCUUGCGCGGCCGCGGGGCGGUGAACACUACCAAACAUUUGUGGGCUGGAGCUGUGGCUGCCAUGGUUUCAAGGUCUGUAAUUAUUAUUAUUUUUAUUUAUUUAUUUAUUUUUUUCAUCUGGUUAAGUACCCACUUACUCAAUUUCAUUAAAUGUUCGAGACUUGAACCCCAAUAUAUAUGUUUGCCCUAAUACCAUGUUGAAUCACGUGAUCUAAAUUGUUAAGUCCUCAGAGAGGAACACACAUAUGUUAUUUAUAUCUUGUCUUAACCCAUAUGGGCUAAAUAGGAUUCUACUUUACAGAUAAAAACAAUUUCAUGACAAUCAGACAAUGUUGCAACUGACUUUCCUAUGUCUUGUGGUAGAAUUUCUCAUCUAGUUUGGUUGAGUAUGUUUGUAGUCAUAUGGUUCUUUUUGCUUGUUGUUGUAACCUGUUUUUCUCUGUAUCAAUAUUCUGAUGAGAUAAAUCUGAAAUUUAUUACUUAUGAUUAUUUUAGAGGCAUGUUUUGAGUUAUCAGAAUCAUUUGGGAAAUACCUUAGUUGUCGCUUGAAGUUAUUAGAAUUACAAUAAUAUGCAUUUAUCCAGAUUGUGAUGAUCUGUACUGCAAUUCAAGGAUCUCUUUUGUUUGCUCUCUGUUGAUCUCACUUUCUUGCAAACUACCAUCUUGUUGUUGGGUCUGUUUUUUAGUUGACACCGAGAACCUACACUCAGCAUUUAAAUGAUGUACCUAUUAUUAUUAUUAUUUUUUUUUUUUAAAUUUAUUUUCACUAGUACUUCAUCUGUGUAAAUAGUUUUCUUUGAUCAGAACUUGCGUCGCUCCACUUGAGAGAUUAAAGCUGGAAUAUAUAGUCCGUGGUGAAAAGAGGAAUAUAUUUGAGCUCAUCAAGAAAAUAGCAGUAACACAAGGCCUGAAAGGUUUUUGGAAGGGAAAUUUUGUUAACAUUCUGCGCACAGCACCUUUUAAAGCAAUCAAUUUUUAUUCUUACGAUACAUAUAGAAAGCAGCUUCUCAAAUUAUCUGGGAAUGAAGAAACCACGAAUUUUGAGAGGUUUAUUGCUGGUGCUGCAGCUGGCAUGACAGCUUCAGUACUCUGCUUGCCACUAGACACUGUGAGUGAUAGUUCUUACAUUUUUUAUCGAUUCUUUUAGUAUUUUUUGUCCAUAUCUUUAGCAUUUUUUUUUGGUUCUUGUAAAUGAAACAAUUUUGUUCUGGAGAUGAAACUAUAAAUUGAACUGAAGUUCCAGGAUUGUAGUGAUGUUGAAAAUAAGGUCAAUGUCUAUGCAUGUAAUACUGUUUUCUGUUACAAAGUACAAGCACAUUGGUUUGAAGCUUUAAGUAUUGGACCUUUGAUCAUUUUGGUUGCUGGAAAGGAAAUGGAUUUUUGUCAUUUAGAAGGAAGGAAACAGAAAUGAGAUGAAAAGUAAUUUUCCUUAAUUUGUUUACAAUAAAAUUGGCAAAUUCUUGACCACUUCUUAAUGUGAAAAUGCCAAAAAAUAUAUUUCUGUGACUUGAAUAGAGAAUUUUUGAAUGUUUUAGGUUCGGACGAGGUUGGUGGCGCCUGGUGGAGAAGCACUUGGUGGUGUAAUUGGAGCUUUUCGUCAUGUGAUUCAAACUGAAGGGUUCUUUUCUCUUUACAAGGGUUUACUCCCGUCUAUCUUGAGUAUGGCACCCUCAGGAGCUGUUUUCUAUGGGGUAUAUGACAUUUUGAAAUCGGCUUAUUUGCAUUCACCUGAAGGAAGAAAAAGAAUUCAGAACAUGAGACAACACGAUCAAGAAUUGAAUGCUUUAGAACAACUCGAGUUGGGACCAAUGAGGACUUUCCUGUAUGGAGCUAUUUCCGGUGCUUGUGCUGAAGCUGCUACCUAUCCAUUUGAGGUUGUGAGGAGGCAGCUCCAACUGCAAGGCCGAGCUACUAAAAUGAGUGCAUUGGCAACAGCCGUCAGAAUCGUUGAACGAGGAGGUCUGCCUGCUCUUUAUGCAGGUCUUUUUCCCAGUUUACUACAGGUAUGGUGUAUAUUAUGUGCGUGUUUUGUAAGGAGGAGAGAGUAUUAAGGAAUGAAAAGGAGUUAAAAUCUUGUUCAUUAUACUAUCAAAGUCCUGUGUGCCAAACAUGCACUAUAUGAAGUCUUCCUCUGGCUUCUGAUUAUUAUUUUUGCAAGGGCAUUCACCCUUUCUGAAACUUAAAGAUUGGAAUAUUUAAGCUUGCAACUCUUUAAUGUCUCCUACAUGGCCAGUUUCAAGCACGUACAUUUUUAUAUGGCUAGAUUCCUUUGCACACCUCUACAUGUUUUAGUGGAGUAGCAUCCCUCUUGUGAGUAGAAUCUUCUUUUGAUCCAUACAAGGGAUACACCAACCAACCAAGUUGUCCUGCAUUUAAUUUAUCUCAAAUCCACAUCAGCUCUGCUUGGCCUAUAUUCUUAUUUAAAAUGCAUUAAACACUUAUUCUUUGUGAAGGCAUGAUUCUCUAUAGAGGCUCAUCUGUUAUCCUUAUUCCUACUAUGGCAAAAAGGACAUUCCAUGUGCUGCCGUAGUUGUACUUAACCUACAAUUUUACGAUUUAUUUCCUUCUCAGUCUCAUCAGCUUGAACUAUAUAAUCAACGAAUAACAUGCAUCGAGGAACCUUAUAUUGGGUAUGGCUCGUUAGCUCAUAUGCUAUUAAAAUUAAGGCAGAACCUUGAUGCAAACCUAUACUGAUGAGAAAUUCUCUACUAUUACUCCCGCUAUCUCACUUGUGACUCCUCCAUCGGGGACAUCCUUUAUGUAUUGAUUAAUAUGGAAUCAACUAUUUAUGAGUCUCACAUAUGACAUUUUCAUCUGUCCUCAGGCAUCUGAAGAUCAUUUUACCAUCAUCUUGUAUGUUUGGCAUUACAUUUUCUCAUAUGGUGCACUUCAUCUCAUUCCUUGAUUGUUAUUCUUCAGGUGUUGCCUUCAGCGUCAAUAAGCUACUUUGUUUACGAGUUCAUGAAGAUUGUUCUUAAGGUGGCGUGAAUCACGGGAAGUUCAAGUUUAUAGUUAAGUAGAGGAAAUUCUCAAGAAACAGCAGAGCAAUUGGAUUCAUUCACAUGUAGCAGUUAAUAUACUCUACAGUCUCAGCAUCCUUAACUAUUCUCACCUGCAUUUGUUAUACAACUUUUCUGAAACUUGGAUCAUUUUCUACCAUAAAAUGGAAUCUUGAUUUUGCAUUUUUUUUUUCAUUGCGAAAUAAAUCCUGUACCAAUGGAUUAUAUGUUCGAGUAAAUGCAGUAGACACCAUAUUUUACUAUUGGACAGCAGUCUCCUUCAAUUAUCAAUCAAUAUGGUUGAGAGUCAAAUUCUCCAUUCAAGAAGACAAAAAAUCUUUGUGAGAAAAUGAUUUUUUUAGAUAAGUAUGAUUAAAAAUUAAAGAAAAAUUGUAGGUUAAUAUGUAAAAUUAUUUUAUUGGGAGAAUAUGUAUUUAAAAAUGAGUUUAUUUAAACUUCAUAUUUUUUAUUUUAAGAUAUGGAGAGAUUUUUUUUAAAUUAAAUAUUUAUUAAUAAAAAAUUACUAUAAAUAAAAUUUAAAAAAAUUUAUCACCACUCCCUGCACAGAGUGGAUUCACUCCAUGCAUGGAGUGUUAUCACUUUGUGUAAAAGGAGAGUUCUCUCAUUUUGAAAAGUCAAAAGGAGAAAACUCUCAUUUUGAAAGCAGAGAUUCUCUCCGUACACGAAGAGAUUUUUUUUUUUAUUUUUUAAAUUUAAUUUUUUAAAUUUUAAUAAAUUAAAUAAUAUUUAUAUAGUAUUUAUUUAAUUUUUGUAACUUUUAUUUUAUUUUAUUUUAUUUGCUUAUUUUGAUUUAAUAAAAUAAUUUUUAUACAUUACUUAUAAUAUAAAGACAUUCGUUAAAUUUGAAUUAAAUAAUAUUUAUGUUUUCUUUAAAUCAUUUUAAUUUAAUUUAAAAACUUUGUAAUAAUUUUUUUUAUUUUUAUCUACAAUUUUUUUAAAUAAUCUUUAUAUUUAAUUUCGUUUCUUUAUUAUAUAAUUUAUGGUAUUACCUUUAAUCAAGUGAAGUAGUGUAUGAAAAUUGAGAAAUAUUAUAGUGGAGGUGACAGUAAAACGGCGUGUGAAAAUGGUGAAAUGACGUGCGAAAAUAAUUCUACAGCGUCAUUGAAUAGAAUAAUUUACUGUUGUCAAACCGAUUUCAGACAAAUUUCGUGUGAAAACCUAUGUGAUAAAAAUAAACAGUAAAACUCACAUUCUCUCUUUUAAAAUAAGGAGGGAUUAUAGAUAGCUUAUAUGUUAAUUGCUAUUUAGCAACAAAAUUUUUAAUUCAAAUAUCUAGUAUAGGUAGCUUAUGUUUCACUAGAAUAUUUGCCAACAUAAUUUUUAAUUCAUAUGAAAUUUUUUGUUUUUUGUUGGAAUUUGAAAUUCUUUAUCUAAAUUUUAGCAACAUGAGAUUUUUACAAACGACAAUACGAAAGUAGACAUUUUUCUUUUUGCAAUUUCCUCUUUCUAAUUUACAAAAAAUGAGUAAAAAAAAAUAAGAAUAAAACAAAACGGAUAUCGUAAAAAAUCCGAGAAUCACCCAACUCCACGAGGGAAUACAUACUGAUUGCAGAAUUACCAUGUUUUGGCGAUGGAAGCAAAGCUAGAGCUUUGCCAUUUUCCCUCUUUCCAAUUUCUUCAUUAUCCACAAAAACUUCAAGUUAAAUACCUAAGAAUAUCAAUUCCUUUUCAGUCAAUACUCCUCUGAACAACUCGAAACGCAAUGCCAGGACUGAAUAUCCGGUUUAAGGAUGAAGAUUCGACAUCAUACCAACAAACCCAUGUUCCAUUUUUACCAGAGAACUCAAAUAAUUCAAU